GAGUUUGAUCCUGGCUCAGAACGAACGCUGGCGGCGUGCUUAACACAUGCAAGUCAGGGAGAAAGUCUCUUCGGGGAUGAUUAAACCGGCGCACGGGUGAGUAACACGUGAGUGACCUGCCUUUUAGACUGGAACAACUUACCGAAAGGUGAGCUAAUGCCGGAUGAGUUAUAUAAGUGCAUGUUUAUAUAGGAAAAGUUGGGGAGACCUGACGCUGAAAGAUGGACUCGCGUCCCAUUAGCUAGUUGGUAGGGUAAUGGCCUACCAAGGCGACGAUGGGUAGCCGGCCUGAGAGGGUGGCCGGCCACACUGGGACUGAGACACGGCCCAGACUCCUACGGGAGGCAGCAGUGGGGAAUUUUGCGCAAUGCUCGUAAGAGUGACGCAGCGACGCCGCGUGAAUGACGAAGGCCUUCGGGUCGUAAAGUUCUUUCGACAGGGAAGAAAAUGCCUAUAAGUAACUGUGUAUGUAUUGACGGUACCUGUAUAAGCAGCCCCGGCUAACUCCGUGCCAGCAGCCGCGGUAAUACGGAGGGGGCGAGCGUUGUUCGGAGUGACUGGGCGUAAAGAGCACGUAGGCGGUGUCGUAAGUCAUUAGUCAAAGACUAGAGCUCAACUUUAGUAAGGCUAGUGAUACUAUAAUACUAGAGUA
rnacentral:rRNA from 1 species